GAGACAGUGUGGAUAAUAACGUAUUGCAGGAGUCAGGACUUUUCCACGGUGAUUCACAUUCAGCUUUCACUUAAGGCAAGAUGGAAGAAAGGAGGAUACCAAGAUAAGAAGAUCAAGGAGAUACAGAAAGCUAAAUUUGACAAGGGUCAACAGACCAGACAGCUGUCCCCCAGCCAGCCUGAGAACCUGCUUUACGGUCUUAAUAGCCUGGGUGAAGACUCGGGCAUCAGAUGGCUGAGAAAAGGAUAGCCCAGAGCAAGAGGGAGCCCAGCAGAGGCUAAGAAGGAAGCAGCAAAGGAGUUCACAAACCCACAUACAGCUGAAGGAGGUACCGAAUGACAUGCGGGGUCCAUUUCAGAAAGCAGGUUUAGUGAAAACUCUGAGUUUGCUAACCC